rnacentral:rRNA from 1 species
UGUGGAGGUAGUGGCUNCNANGCGACGACGGGUAGCUCNGCUCUGANAGGGCGACCGGCCACACUGGGACUGAGAUACGGCCCAGACUCCUACGGGAGGCAGCAGUGGGGAAUAUUGCACAAUGGGCGAAAGCCUGAUGCAGCGACGCCGCGUGAGGGAUGACGGCCUUCGGGUUGUAAACCUCUUUCAGCAGGGAAGAAGCGAAAGUGACGGUACCUGCAGAAGAAGCGCCGGCUAACUACGUGCCAGCAGCCGCGGUAAUACGUAGGGCGCAAGCGUUGUCCGGAAUUAUUGGGCGUAAAGAGCUCAUAGGCGGCUUGUCACGUCGGGUGUGAAAGCCCGGGGCUUAACCCCGGGUCUGCAUUCGAUACGGGCUAGCUAGAGUGUGGUAGGGGAGAUCGGAAUUCCUGGUGUAGCGGUGAAAUGCGCAGAUAUCAGGAGGAACACCGGUGGCGAAGGCGGAUCUCUGGGCCAUUACUGACGCUGAGGAGCGAAAGCGUGGGGAGCGAACAGGAUUANAUACCCUGGUAGUCCACGCCGUAAACGGUGGGAACUAGGUGUUGGCGACAUUCCACGUCGUCGGUGCCGCAGCUAACGCAUUAAGUUCCCCGCCUGGGGAGUACGGCCGCAAGGCUAANNCUCAAAGGAAUUGACGGGGGCCCGCACAAUCAUCNNANCAUGUNNNUUANUUUACNCANCNCGAANAAUCCUUAUCNANGCUUGACAUACACCGNUANAGCAUUUANAUAG